GAGCGGUGAAGAGGAUUUACACAGUUGCGACGGUGGGUGCUGUCGCCAUCUUCUGAUACAGAAGAAGCUAGCGUAGCUGAGCUC